rnacentral:lncRNA from 1 species
AUGUUUUCUCUUCAGGGAGGGCCUUCCUACUAUCCUGGUGGAUCUUAUGGACAGGGAGGGUCUUCUGCUUAUGAUGGCGGCAGUGAAUCCUAUGGUCAGGGUGGAUCCUCUGUAUAUAGUGGUUCUGAGACUUAUGGCCAGGAUUCACCUGCCAUGGGAGCCAGUGAAACUGAAGAUAGUGAUUCCUCCUCGCCGUCUGGUAGCCGCCAGAGUGAACGGGUAAGCAAUCCCUCCUUUAUGUAGUGCCAGGUGCCAGCCCAGGGCUUGGCAACUGCAGCACCUAAAUUACAUCUCCUGUGGAAAGCCUGAGGCAUCUCCAGUGUGGGACAGAAAACCCUCAAGCACAGCAGGAAUGAGGAUAUGGUUAAAGAGUUUAAGUACUGCUAGAAAUCACAGCUGAUGCUGAGGUGUGCUCUUGAAUCUCAAACUCACGUUACAAAUGUGAUAGCACAAUCUUCUUGUUCAGGUCCUUGCACUUUUUAAAUAAUUGAUUGACUGCAAAGAGCUUCAAUACCAUGAUUUUCCCAGCACUUAUUCUAAAUGCAACCCUUUGCUUGUUGUGCUGUAUGACUUACUUAUGAAGGCUUCCAUUUUCCUAUCAUUUUUACAUGGCACAUAUUGUAUUUAUUCUAAUGACACAGACUGAGAAGUUAUUUUAUUGAAGAUUUAACUCUUUCAACUGUUGUAUCCUAGAGAACAUCUUCCACCAAAAGAGCAAUUAUCAAUAGUCAUGAAGGGCAUGUGCUGUUUUCUAUAUAAAGACAGUAGAUUAUUUUUGUUUUUCUUGAACAAUCCAUGACAGAAAAUUAAGGCGCGUGGAGAAGCAAGGAGGAGUGUUUUUCUUCCACUCUGAUCUUUCCAGUUUUUGGGGUUUGGUUUUUCCAUGUAAUUUCAUUUUAAAUACAUUUUUCCAGGAUUUUUAUUCCCCAGGAGGCAGCCAGUCAGGUGGACAUGUAAGCAUCUAUUUUAUUUAUUAUUUGCAGUUCUCUUUCAAAAUGGCUGUACUAUUUAAAAAUUAUCCCAAUGAGUAAAUAACACCAAACCAUUAAUUUCCUAGACUUGCUCAUGACAUCUGGCAUCAUGUCUUGAGAAAUCAAAUUGCAAACUGUUUGAAUAAAAAAAUUUAAAAUUGUGUGUGUACA